CCUGCCCUCAAGUGCUGUUCAGGCUUAGCAGCUGAUCUGGUUGAAAUCAGGGAAAGGUUAGAAGUCUCUCAUCCUUAUGCUUCUGGAUGCAGACAUGAUUUUAAGAAGAAAGAAAGGCAGGAAGAAAGGAAAGAAAAGCCCAUUUUGGAAACCACCGUAUUCCGAUUUCUCUCAGCUUAACAUCAGUCAUUUUUCUUACCUUCUUUUAGGGAAUCUCACUUGCAACCACCUAAAAGGAGUAUUUUCAACUAAAAUUUUACACAUUUGAAUUACAAACUCAAAACAUGCUGGUCAUAACAAAUUAAAUGACAAGGAAGUGCCUGAGUCACACUGUAUGGGAGCUAUGUGGUGUAUAAAGCUAUGCGGUGAGCUGAGAUCCAUGUAAAGGGAAGGCCACAGAAGCACCCAAAGCAUCGUGGGUCGGCUACAGAAGAAGACAAUUUUGACUCCCUGUACAGGACACUAUCUUGGUACCACUCACUUUCCUCCCUGCAAAAUCUGAAUAUUGCUCACAUAUAUUCAACAUAUGUCCAAGAAGCUUCUUAUGUAUGUCUCCUGCCUCUUCUUUCCAUACCUCCCAAAUGUUGAUCCAAAACACUGAUCAAUUUUAAUAAAUUAAGCAAAGUUUUGAAAAUGUGAUUUCAUUCUGAAUCACAGUUAAGCAACUGGGUAAAGCUCUCCAUACUUUAUCACAGAGAUGGAAUGGUUAGAGAGAACAUGACAAAGCUUCCCCAUACACCAUCUCUAUACAUGCAUGUAUAUGGUAUUUCCAUCCAUAUGUAAUACUUAGCUACAUAUCUAUUGUCAAGGACUCUUUAAAGAAACAUUCAUUUUUACUACAGCUCUAGAGAAAGGCAAGGGUGGGUUUUCUCAUCUGAUUGUGUAAACUGAAGAAACUUAGUCUUAAGAGAUAAGUUACUUCUCAGGGUCAGGAGCAAAAACAAGAGGCCACAGCCUGUCCCAAUGAGGUCUAUCAUGC
rnacentral:lncRNA from 1 species